AUCCUUUAGUUCAUGAGUGUGAUGAUUGGGUGUUCAUGCCUUAUGCAUGAGAUGUGCCACCCUCAAACCUUGUUAUGACGUGGGCACAUUGCCCAUCUGACG